GGAACCGUAGCCAAGUGGUAAGGCGUGGGUCUGCAACACCCUGAGCACCAGUUCGAAUCUGGUCGGUUCCU
rnacentral:tRNA from 1 species